UACGUAGGGGGCAAGCGUUGUCCGGAUUUAUUGGGCGUAAAGAGCGUGUAGGCGGCCAGACAGGUCUGCUGUGAAAACUCGAGGCUCAACCUCGAGACGUCGGUUGAAACCGUACGGCUAGAGUCCGGAAGAGGAGAGUGGAAUUCCCGGUGUAGCGGUGAAAUGCGCAGAUAUCGGGAAGAACACCCGUGGCGAAGGCGGCUCUCUGGGACGGUACUGACGCUGAGACGCGAAAGCGUGGGGAGCGAACAGG
rnacentral:rRNA from 1 species